rnacentral:rRNA from 1 species
CCUACGGGAGGCUGCAGUGAGGAAUAUUGGUCAAUGGACGAGAGUCUGAACCAGCCAAGUAGCGUGAAGGAUGACUGCCCUAUGGGUUGUAAACUUCUUUUAUAUGGGAAUAAAAUGUUCCACGUGUGGGAUUUUGUAUGUACCAUAUGAAUAAGGAACGGUUAACUCCGUGCCAGCAGCCGCGGUAAUACGGAGGAUCCGAGCGUUAUCCGGAUUUAUUGGGUUUAAAGGGAGCGUAGGUGGAUUGUUAAGGCAGUUGUGAAAGUUUGCGGCUCAACCGUAAAAUUGCAGUUGAAACUGGCAGUCUUGAGUACAGUAGAGGUGGGCGGAAUUCGUGGUGUAGCGGUGAAAUGCUUAGAUAUCACGAAGAACUCCGAUUGCGAAGGCAGCUCACUGGACUGCAACUGACACUGAGGCUCGAAAGUGUGGGUAUCGAACAGGAUUAGAUACCCGUGUAGUC